AUUGAACGCUGGCGGCAUGCUUUACACAUGCAAGUCGAACGGUAACAGGGUGCUUGCACCGCUGACGAGUGGCGAACGGGUGAGUAAUGCGUCGGAACGCACCGAGUAAUGGGGGAUAACGCAGCGAAAGCUGUGCUAAUACCGCAUACGCUCUGAGGAGGAAAGCGGGGGACCUUCGGGCCUCGCGUUAUUCGAGCGGCCGACGUCUGAUUAGCUAGUAGGUGAGGUAAGAGCGCACCUAGGCGACGAUCAGUAGCGGGUCUGAGAGGAUGAUCCGCCACACUGGGACUGAGACACGGCCCAGACGCCUACGGGAGGCAGCAGUGGGGAAUUUUGGACAAUGGGCGCGAGCCUGAUCCAGCCAUGCCGCGUGUCUGAAGAAGGCCUUCGGGUUGUAAAGGACUUUUGUCAGGGAGGAAAUCCUUAGCGCUAAUACCGUUGAGGGAUGACAGUACCUGAAGAAUAAGCACCGGCUAACUACGUGCCAGCAGCCGCGGUAA
rnacentral:rRNA from 1 species